rnacentral:rRNA from 1 species
GAUCCUGGCUCAGGAUGAACGCUGGCGGCGUGCCUAACACAUGCAAGUCGAGCGAAGCAUUUUAAAGGAAGUUUUCGGAUGGAAUUUGAAAUGACUGAGCGGCGGACGGGUGAGUAACGCGUGGGUAACCUGCCUCAUACAGAGGGAUAACAGUUAGAAAUGACUGCUAAUACCGCAUAAGCACACAGUACCGCAUGGUACAGUGUGAAAACUCCGGUGGUAUGAGAUGG